UUUAGACUGGAGGCAAAGUUGGUGAUGUGUAUUGAACACUCUGAGUGAAAUUUUAUUUACGUGGAAAUUCUGCUUCUGAAACCAGAUGGUCAACACCAGAGAGCAGUGAAUAGACUUACCUAAUCAAGGUCCAGUAUGUUUACAGGAUUCACAACAAUAUCUUGGGAUUUGUUCUUCUUGUAAAGCCAGUAAGAGUGAUGUGGUUAAUCUUCUCCACUGUGUUCCAAACGUACCCCCUGUUCCUCAGACUGCCUAAGUGAACCACUGUGGAUUUAAAGAUUUCAUCAGACAGGGCUCCAGCUGCUUAGAUUUAUCUGUCUUCGUGUUGCUCACCCGAGUCACUCUGGCGAGGUUUAUUUGGGGCAGACAACAUGAUAUUUUUGGACUGCUGAGCGCCCAGGAAAGCAGGGCAUGUUCUCUGAGCACAUUCAGAAGGAUCCUGAAGGGUGAUUCUUCAGGAAGCUGUACCUACAGGAGACUGAAGCAGUUCAGCUUUGAGGAUGGAGGUGGAGAACAUCAAGGACUGAAGGUGUUUAUGGAAAAUGUGGUUAUGGAAAAGGCUUUUGACAAACCUGAAAAAGGGAAGAAAUUUCAGUGGGGAAUUUUAUGAAAAUAUUUUGUCAUUUUCACAUAAUGCAAUCACCUGCAGACUGUUCUUUUCUGUAAUGAAUGUGAAUGUAAAGGGGAACUGAAGACCCUCAUCUGCUAUGAAGUAAGAUUUGAAUAAAACCUGAACUUCAU